GUCAUUGAACAUGCUAUCUGUCUGUCAAAGGUUCCCAUGGUAACUUGAAAGCGAACGACACAACUAUCACAGCAGCUGUUAUCACUCAAUCUCGGCUGUGUUGCUUGUAAGGUCUGUUUUCCCAUCAUGCAUUUGCCGUUCUGUUUGGUGUUCCUUUAAAGUAAACCACUUCUGCUUUCCCAAGCAAUACCUCAAACAAGUCAAACUCGAUAUACAAAGAGCCACAGUGGAUGCUGCUGCUUCAGUUUGUGCCAACCCAUGAUUGACUAUUUGAGUUACCUUAGAAUUCACCAUCUGGAGCCAAGAGGGGUGUCUCUACAGCUUCAAUGAGAAUAUCAAAGACUCUCCCAAAAGCUCUGGUGUCUCACAAUAAAACAGAGAAGCUUUUGAAGUGUGACUGUUCAAAUAUGGCACUUGGCUUUCAAAUAAAAUUCAAGUGACUUGGAAUGCUGCUCUCUAGGAAAGGACCGCAGUGCAUUUCAAAUAUACGCCUUGACACUCCGCUGAAGAGUGAUUUCACUUGGAAAUUGGUAGGAAAAUAGUCGGACCCUUUUGACAAAUGGCAGUUGGCUUUGUCAGACAAGAGACAAGUGUAAUUUUGCCUUUCUGCUCAUGCUGCAACGUUGUAUUGUGUUUGUAUGAGUAUUUCAGCACCA